GAGCAAGAAAGCAAUUUGGUCGGACGACUCGGAAUCGGACCGAUCCCCGAGAAGAGACGCCAAGAACAAGACGACCCACAAGGGCAGAAAGGAAGCCGAGAAGAAACAUAAGGAUAGCGACCGUAGACGAGAAGAAGUUAAGGAUGCGGAAAAGAAGCCCAUGAAAAAGUCUAACGAAGGACCUAGGCAGGGAUCGGGAUCUGGAACUAAGCGAAAAGCUGGCGACGACGAUAAGAAGCCUGCGAAGAGGAUCGUGAAGGACCAAGUCAAGUCGGCCGUGAAGGACGCUAAGCGGAAGACAUCCAAGAAGGAUCCCCAGCCUCAC